rnacentral:rRNA from 1 species
UAUUGGCAGGCCUGACGCAUGCAAGUCGAGGGGUAACAGGGAGUGCUUGCACUCUGCUGACGACCGGCGCACGGGUGCGUAACGCGUAUGCAACCUACCUUCCACAGGGGGAUAGUCAAUAGAAAUGUUGAAUAAUACCCCAUACGAUCUAAAGAUCACCUGAUCAAUAGAGGGAAACUCCGGUGGUGGAAGAUGGGCAUGCGUCCUAUUAGUUAGUUGGUGAGGUAACGGCUCACCAAGACUACGAUAGGUAGGGGUCCUGAGAGGGAGACCCCCCACACUGGUACUGAGACACGGACCAGACUCCUACGGGAGGCAGCAGUGAGGAAUAUUGGACAAUGGAGGCAACUCUGAUCCAGCCAUGCCGCGUGCAGGAAGACUGCCCUAUGGGUUGUAAACUGCUUUUAUACAGGAAGAAAUGUACCUACGUGUAGGUAUUUGACGGUACUGUAAGAAUAAGGAUCGGCUAACUCCGUGCCAGCAGCCGCGGUAAUACGGAGGAUCCAAGCGUUAUCCGGAAUCAUUGGGUUUAAAGGGUCCGUAGGCGGUUUUUUAAGUCAGAGGUGAAAUCCUGCAGCUCAACUGUAGCAUUGCCUUUGAUACUGAGAGACUUGAGUUAUUGUGAAGUAAUUAGAAUGUGUAGUGUAGCGGUGAAAUGCAUAGAUAUUACACAGAAUACCAAUUGCGAAGGCAGAUUACUAACAAUACACUGACGCUGAGGGACGAAAGCGUGGGUAGCGAACAGGAUUAGAUACCCUGGUAGUCCACGCCGUAAACGAUGG